UACGUAGGGUCCGAGCGUUGUCCGGAAUUAUUGGGCGUAAAGAGCUCGUAGGCGGUUUGUCGCGUCUGCUGUGAAAUCCCGAGGCUCAACCUCGGGCCUGCAGUGGGUACGGGCAGACUGGAGUGCGGUAGGGGAGAAUGGAAUUCCUGGUGUAGCGGUGGAAUGCGCAGAUAUCAGGAGGAACACCGGUGGCGAAGGCGGGUCUCUGGGCCGAUACUGACGCUGAGGAGCGAAAGCGUGGGGAGCGAACAGG
rnacentral:rRNA from 1 species